ACUUCUCCAUCGUUGCCCUCUUUUAAUCUGACCUCAACUCAAAGCCCUGCAGAUGCCAAUGCAGAUUAUUAACUCCAGAAGCAAUCAUCCUGAGGUUUUAAAGCUUCGAGAUAAUCCUCUGAUGUUAAAAUUGUCAACCUCUCUAAAUAAUGAAGUGAAAGAAUAAAAAGUCAAUAUGCAACAACCAAGCUCAAUAAACGCCUAUGGGGAGUCAUCUUUCUCGAGAGCCACAGAAUAAUAAAUGGACAGGUAUUCCUCUGAGCUUACUUUGUCAUAUGUUACAAUAACACUAAGAGAACUACAUUCUAAUGGUUAUUUGACUUUAGUAUCCUAAGAGUAUUAAUCAACUAGUAUGUUGAUUGUCUAUAACUUGAUAUAUAUAUCUGCUAGAUAAGUGUGUUCAGACAGGAAGAGAGAAGGGGAAGAGAAUUAAAAUUUAUGAAGUAUCCCCAAUGUGUUGGUCACUAUAUUUGGUCCAUUAUAUAUGUAUUAUCUUCUGAGGUAUAAUGAAUCAUAAUAUAAUACUUUGAUAUCACAAAAUGUUUGUAAUGCUGUAAGUUAUCUAUUACUAUAUUCAUGCUAUAAAGAAACUGGAUUAGUUUUCUGUGGCUGCUAUAACAAUUUACCUCAAAUUUGUUGGCUCAAAACAUAAAUCUGUCUUCAGAGUGUGAAGUGGGUUUCACUGGCCUAAAGUCGAGAUGUCAUCAGGGCUGCGUUCCUUUCUGAAGGCUCCAGGGGAGGACCCCUUUCCUUGCUUUGUCAUUUUCUAGAGGCUCCCCAAACUCUGAAGGUUUUACCCUCUCGGCUCUUGACCUUCUUCCUUCUUCUUCAAAGUCAAUGAUACUUGACCACAUCCUUUUCAUGCUGCUUUCUCUCAGUUUUCUUCCACUUCCCUCUCCCACUAUUAAAGGCCCUUGGGGUUACACUGGAC
rnacentral:lncRNA from 1 species